rnacentral:piRNA from 1 species
CCCGAAAAACGAGUAAAUCUGUC